AAUGAACGCUGGCGGCAGGCCUAAUACAUGCAAGUCGAGCGAGCGGCGGACGGGUGAGUAAUGUGUGGGAAACCGCCUGAUGGAGGGGGAUAACUACUGGAAACGGUAGCUUAUACCCCAUAUCAUCAGAUGUGCCCAGUUGGGAUUCGCUAGAGGGGGGGGUAACGGCUCACAAAGGCGACGAUCCCUAGCUGGCCUGAGAGGAUGACCAGCCACACUGGAACUGAGACACGGUCCAGACUCCUACGGGAGGCAGCAGUGGGGAAUAUUGCGCAAUGGGCGCAAGCCUGAUGCAGCCAUGCCGCGUGUGUGAAGAAGGCCUUCGGAUUGUAAAGCACUGUAAGUUGGGAGGCGUUACCAACAGAAUAAGCACCGGCUAACUUCGUGCCAGCAGCCGCGGUAAUUC
rnacentral:rRNA from 1 species